ACCCUAGUUCAAGACCCCAAGAAAACACCCACACCUAUGAUUAUGAAGAUGCUACAUACUCCAUAACCCUGGAUGAGGAGGAAGUUGUGCUGGGGCCAGGUGCCAUCACAGCAAUCGUCAUCGCCGUGUUCCUCGGAGCCUCUGUUCUUCUCGCUCUCAUUGUGAUCACGCUCAGAAAGUUCACUGCCUCUUAAGGGACAUUUAUGUGUUUUCAUUUCCUCCCUUCCUCAAUCCCAUCUCUUCUUUUUACUCUUCUCAAACUGUAUUUUCAAGUGUCUCGUUGGUG
rnacentral:lncRNA from 1 species